GAAACGACUGCUAAGACUGGAUAGGAGACAAGAGGGCAUCUUCUUGUUUUUAAAAGACCCAGCAAUAGGUAUGCUUAGGGAGGGGCUUGCGUCACAUUAGUUAGUUGGUGGGGUAAAGGCCUACCAAGACUAUGAUGUGUAGCCGGGCUGAGAGGUUGAACGGCCACAUUGGGACUGAGACACGGCCCAAACUCCUACGGGAGGCAGCAGUAGGGAAUUUUCGGCAAUGGAGGAAACUCUGACCGAGCAACGCCGCGUGAACGAUGAAGUAUUUCGGUACGUAAAGUUCUUUUAUUAGGGAAGAAUAAAUGAUGGAAAAAUCAUUCUGACGGUACCUAAUGAAUAAGCCCCGGCUAACUAUGUGCCAGCAGCCGCGGUAAUACAUAGGGGGCAAGCGUUAUCCGGAAUUAUUGGGCGUAAAGGGUGCGUAGGCGGUUAAAUAAGUUUAUGGUCUAAGUGCAAUGCUCAACAUUGUGAUGCUAUAAAAACUGUUUAGCUAGAGUAAGAUAGAGGCAAGUGGAAUUCCAUGUGUAGUGGUAAAAUGCGUAAAUAUAUGGAGGAACACCAGUAGCGAAGGCGGCUUACUGGGUCUUUACUGACGCUGAGGCACGAAAGCGUGGGGAGCAAACAGGAUUAGAUACCCUGGUAGUCCACGCCGUAAACGAUGAGUACUAAACGUUGGGUAAAACCAGUGUUGAAGUUAACACAUUAAGUACUCCGCCUGAGUAGUACGUACGCAAGUAUGAAACUUAAAGGAAUUGACGGGACUCCGCACAAGCGGUGGAUCAUGUUGUUUAAUUCGAAGGUACCCGAAAAACCUCACCAGGUCUUGACAUGCUUCUGCAAAGCUGUAGAAACACAGUGGAGGUUAUCAGUUGCACAGGUGGUGCAUGGUUGUCGUCAGCUCGUGUCGUGAGAUGUUGGGUUAAGUCCCGCAACGAGCGCAACCCUUAUUGUUAGUUACCAGCACGUAAUGGUGGGGACUUUAGCAAGACUGCCAGUGAUAAAUUGGAGGAAGGUGGGGACGACGUCAAAUCAUCAUGCCCCUUAUGACCUGGGCUACAAACGUGAUACAAUGGCUGUUACAAAGGGUAGCUGAAGCGCAAGUUUUUGGCGAAUCUCAAAAAAACAGUCUCAGUUCGGAUUGAAGUCUGCAACUCGACUUCAUGAAGUUGGAAUCGCUAGUAAUCGCGAAUCAGCAUGUCGCGGUGAAUACGUUCGCGGGGUUUGUACACACCGCCUGUCA
rnacentral:rRNA from 2 species